CGGCUACAGCCCAGUCUGGUCUAGAUGACUUGAUUGAGAUGCUGCGGUGGGUUGUGCUCGAGUCGUGGCUUAAUGACAUUAUACACGCUCGGGAGAAUUCGCACCUAUCGUAUGUGUUAUAUACCCCGGUGAAUUAAGAAUGGUAACUUUUAGGUCUAUUUAUGGAUCAAUGUAAUAUGCCUAUUUCCUAUUGUGCAAUUAUUACGUAACUGAACUAUUCAUAUUCGUAUUUCUCUUAUCAUUAGCUUUAUUUUGACCUUUGACCUAUUAUCAUACGAUUAUUGAGUUAUAAACAGUUUAUUGAUUACUUUGGUUUGUAUGAAAGCUCGGUGUGUUUGUAAAUAAUGAUUCAUAUUGCCGAGGCUGUUAUUUGUGUUCUGUACUCAACUGCUUGGACUAGGCAAAUAGGAAGGACGGAACAGCACCCGAGACUGGUCGUACGUAUUUUAUGUAUCAUUGGACGUUUAUAUAUUAAGAGGGCACACGCAAGCAAUGGAUAUAUCAAACAGGCACACAUACGUUAUAACAGAAAUAAAUCAAGUAUCGUCUUUAAUGUAUAAAUGAUAUCGUGAGUCAACUGAAGUCAGACCACCAUGGAAAACCUGGAAGCACUGUUGUUAGAUAUCAACUCACUGAAGACAUUGGUGAAACGGUUGCUUAACUUCGUGUAUUGGUUGAAGUCAGACAUUAACAGCGUUGAAUGUCAGCCGACUCAGUGGUCUAUCGUUUAAGUGAUCGCGCGUGAAACUGGUAGGUCCUGGGAUCAAAUCUCGAGCACACUUCUUGGGGGUCCCAUAAUAGGACGAAACGGCUGUCCAGUGGUUCAAGGUUUUACUUGGUGGUCUAGCAUCAUUUGACUCACGAUUUCGACCAUAUAUAAAAAUUACUAAAAAUCUCAACUUGCCUAUAUAACAUCAACGUCAAUUCCAUUUUAUCCGAAACAGAGAUUUUAGUUUGAGAUAAAUAUACUACUUAAAAUGUUUUAAGCAUAUUUUAUAUUCUUAUAUUUCGUGAAUUAGUAAAUAUUAAUUAAAUGAUAUAGUCGAAUCCAUUUGAAAACAUUUACAAUUGGCUAAGCAGAUAUAGUGACUCUUCAUUUCAAAGAAUUUUAUCAUAGACUUGAACAACCAUCAAUUACGAUGUUUUUCACUGUUGAUGCAUUGUAUCUUCCCUGUAUUACAUCACAUAUAUUUGUAUGUCAAUGAACAAGAAUCUUGAUGGACAGUUUAUGCUUCUUCAUGUGGAGCACCUGGAGUAAGCAAGUAAUUAUCAGGAAAUGAAAGUAGAAUUCUUGCUGACCGAAGAUGAUAAUGUAGUAAUAAACAAGAAUGUUCAAAAAAGUUGUCCCGAUUAUCCAGUUCCCAUAGAACAUGUUAGUUCAAUCCAGAUUGCUAAUAUAACUCAAUGGAGCGUUAAGAAUAUAUACUGAAUUUCUAAAGGACGCAGCUUAAUAUCAAUACUCCUGAGAAUAUUAUAUAACUCAUCGUCUUAAGUUAUCUGUCAAACAAGUAAGAUUUGACCAUGUUUACGUGAAACAAAUUGCACAGUAUAUUGUGUAUAAUAUUGGUUAUCUGUUUUAAAAUAUAAACAUUCUCACGAUCAUCGAUCUAACUUCCAACUGCCCUAGGUGGACUUUCCGUGUCCACCAACCCGGUUAGAGCGACGGACAGUCGCUUUUCGUCCUUUCGACUUC
rnacentral:rRNA from 11 species